rnacentral:rRNA from 1 species
CUAUGGUAGAGACGCGGCGUACGGCUCAGUAACACGUGGCUAAUCUACCCUUGGGACGGGGACAACCCCGGGAAACUGGGGCUAAUACCCGAUGGGUGAGGAGGCCUGGAAUGGUUCUCCACCGAAAAGACGCUGAAACCAUGCUUUUCAACGUUGCCUAAGGAUGGGGCCGCGUCCGAUCAGGUUGUUGGUGGGGUAACGGCUCACCAAGCCUAUAACCGGUACGGGCCGUGAGAGCGGGAGCCCGGAGAUGGGCACUGAGACAAGGGCCCAGGCCCUACGGGGCGCAGCAGUCGCGAAAACUCCGCAAUGCGCGAAAGCGUGACGGGGCUACCCCGAGUGUCGUCCGCUGAGGAUGACUUUUCCCCGGUGUAAGGAGCCGGGGGAAUAAGGAGAGGGCAAGUCUGGUGUCAGCCGCCGCGGUAAUACCAGCUCUCCGAGUGGUAGGGACAAUUAUUGGGCUUAAAGCGUCCGUAGCCGGCCCGGCAAGUCUCCCGUUAAAUCCAGCGACCUAAUCGUUGGGCUGCAGGAGAUACUGUUGGGCUAGGAGGCGGGAGAGGCCGACGGUAUUCUCGGGGUAGGGGUGAAAUCCUAUAAUCCCGGGAGGACCACCAGUGGCGAAGGCUGUCGGCUAGAACGCGCUCGACGGUGAGGGACGAAAGCUGGGGGAGCGAACCGGAUUAGAUACCCGGGUAGU